rnacentral:rRNA from 1 species
AACGAACGCUGGCGGCAGGCCUAACACAUGCAAGUCGAGCGGACCCUUCGGGGUUAGCGGCGGACGGGUGAGUAACGCGUGGGAACGUGCCCUUUGCUUCGGAAUAGCCCUGGGAAACUGGGAGUAAUACCGGAUACGCCCUUUUGGGGAAAGAUUUAUCGGCCAAGGAUCGGCCCGCGUUGGAUUAGGUAGUUGGUGGGGUAAUGGCCUACCAAGCCGACGAUCCAUAGCUGGUUUGAGAGGAUGAUCAGCCACACUGGGACUGAGACACGGCCCAGACUCCUACGGGAGGCAGCAGUGGGGAAUCUUAGACAAUGGGGGAAACCCUGAUCUAGCCAUGCCGCGUGAGCGAUGAAGGCCUUAGGGUUGUAAAGCUCUUUCACCGGGGAAGAUAAUGACGGUACCCGGAGAAGAAGCCCCGGCUAACUCCGUG